rnacentral:rRNA from 1 species
GACGAACGCUGGCGGCGUGCCUAAUACAUGCAAGUCGAACGAGAGCGACCGGUGCUUGCACUGGUCAAUCUAGUGGCGAACGGGUGAGUAACACGUGGGUAACCUGCCCAUCAGAGGGGGAUAACAUUCGGAAACGGAUGCUAAAACCGCAUAGGUCUUCGAACCGCAUGGUUUGAAGAGGAAAAGAGGCGCAAGCUUCUGCUGAUGGAUGGACCCGCGGUGCAUUAGCUAGUUGGUGAGGUAACGGCUCACCAAGGCCGUGACGCAUAGCCGACCUGAGAGGGUGAUCGGCCACAUUGGGACUGAGACACGGCCCAAACUCCUACGGGAGGCAGCAGUAGGGAAUCUUCCGCAAUGGACGCAAGUCUGACGGAGCAACGCCGCGUGAGUGAAGAAGGUUUUCGGAUCGUAAAACUCUGUUGUUAGAGAAGAACAAGUGCUAGAGUAACUGUUAGCGCCUUGACGGUAUCUAACCAGAAAGCCACGGCUAACUACGUG